CAGCUGACGAGUCCCAAGUAGGACGAAAUGCGCAUCAUG
rnacentral:hammerhead_ribozyme from 1 species